rnacentral:lncRNA from 1 species
AGGAAACCUUAUAGGGAUACAGAAUUAAAAUGCACGGGCAGUUGAACUGUUGGCAAUGUGACAGGUGAGAAGUUGUUUAAAUAACUGUGGGAUAACCAUGCUAUCUUCCAGAGCCACUAAGAGUGUGAGAAAUGCAGCUAAGAAACUUGCAGAAUUUUGGCUGAUGAGAAGAUAUGUAGGUCACUGAAGCUCUUUUUGUAACAGAAAGUUCAGCAGUAAGCACAUCAGCUGGCAAGAGUUCAGCUAUAGACACCAAGAAUCACAACGGUACAGAGAUUAGAAGUGCACUUCAGUCUGUUUGUGCUGGGAAAAACAGUUUACCUCUUUAAUCUGUUUUUCAUCUCAGGAACUGUGAUGCUGGUUAGGUGUAAUUUCUGUAGAAAAAAAACAUUAAUGAAGUUUUUAAUCUGAAAUCACGAGCACAAAAGGAACAAAAAAAGUCAUCAGUAUUCUGACCUUCCCCAUUUUACCUGCUCUUCUUUGAUGAGUCAGAAUUUCAUUUGUUUGAAACAGGAAGGCUUGCUGUGAUAGUGAUGUAGUCCUAUUUGCACUGUUGUCUCUUUCCCACUGUUUAAAUGUCACUUGUUUAGGAUUU